UUUGUUCUGCUCCAACUAGAGGACUGGUCAGAGAGAGAGGUCUGUGUUGCUUUAUUUUGCCCCAUAGGACUGGUCAGAGAGAGGUCUGUGUUGCUUUAUUUUGCCCCAUAGGACUGGUCAGAGAGAGAGGUCUGUGUUGCUUUAUUUUGCCCCAUAGGGGAUGCUGCUCCAGAGGUCUGGUCAGGUCUGAGCUG